GACGAACGCUGGCGGCGUGCCUAAUACAUGCAAGUAGAACGCUGAAGAGAGGAGCUUGCUCUUCUUGGAUGAGUUGCGAACGGGUGAGUAACGCGUAGGUAACCUGCCUGGUAGCGGGGGAUAACUAUUGGAAACGAUAGCUAAUACCGCAUAAAAUUAAUUAUUGCAUGAUAAUUAAUUGAAAGAUGCAAUUGCAUCACUACCAGAUGGACCUGCGUUGUAUUAGCUAGUUGGUGAGGUAACGGCUCACCAAGGCGACGAUACAUAGCCGACCUGAGAGGGUGAUCGGCCACACUGGGACUGAGACACGGCCCAGACUCCUACGGGAGGCAGCAGUAGGGAAUCUUCGGCAAUGGGGGGAACCCUGACCGAGCAACGCCGCGUAAGUGAAGAAGGUUUUCGGAUCGUAAAGCUCUGUUGUAAGAGAAGAACGGGUGUGAGAGUGGAAAGUUCACACUGGACG
rnacentral:rRNA from 1 species